UACGGAGGAUGCGAGCGUUAUCCGGAUUUAUUGGGUUUAAAGGGUGCGUAGGCGGAUCGUUAAGUCAGUGGUCAAAUUGAGGGGCUCAACCCCUUCCCGCCAUUGAAACUGGCGCUCUUGAGUGGAAGAGAAGUAUGCGGAAUGCGUGGUGUAGCGGUGAAAUGCAUAGAUAUCACGCAGAACCCCGAUUGCGAAGGCAGCAUGCCGGCUUCCGACUGACGCUGAAGCACGAAAGCGUGGAGAUCGAACAGG
rnacentral:rRNA from 1 species